rnacentral:lncRNA from 1 species
AACAUUCUAAGGAAGAACUUGGAUUGGAUAAUGUAUCUACUUCUGCGACCUGAGGUCCAGGGAAGUUCCCAUGCUUGGCGGUACCACUGAACCAUAUGGGAAGGCAAACCAAUUAAUUUCCAUUGCCAGUUUGAGUUUCUUUAUAUAAAAAAUAGUUACAGCUCUUGUUACGUGAUAGAGGUGAGGAAACUGAGGCGCAGAGUAUCUAAGGAAUUCACAGAGAAGAACUGAACAGAACAGGCAGAUGUUCAUACAGCACAGCCUGCUCAGCAUUCACAGUCUGAGAACAUUCCACUCUGCGAUUCUCUAAAUCCUUUUCCCAUCUCUCUCUUUUUCUUCGUGGAUUUUUAUCCUUUUACUGUGUACUUUCCCAUAUAACGUCCAGCACGGCAAUCUUUUUGCCUGUUUCUUUGUCCUUCUCCCCCAAUUGGCAGAGGAAUAAUCUCUAUCUGGCUGAGACGUCAAGCGCUGAAAAAUAUUGGCAUUCCUUAAAGAAGCAAUUUGUUUUCUUUUCUCAAAUGUAUCACGUGCGGUUAAGUGGCACUGACUUGUGCCCCAGCUGACCAAAUUUCACAGAGAUGGCCUGUCUGAGGCUAGAGGAUCUUUUGAGGAAUGGGUAUCUUCUCUAUGGAAAUAUCCCAAUUACCAUUUCUUGCGGGAAACACAGCAUCACCCCAGAGAUCUGUGGCCAUCAGGAAAAGUAACCAAGCUGAAGGGACAUCCAUCUCCAUUUCCAGUGGGGACACCACCAUCUUCUCUAACUUGUUCAUCUUGAGUGAUAGAAAACUUUAACUAAAUAAAUGAAAAAGGAUGGCAGAAAAUAAUCCACAGUGACUUAUGUAUCUUUCUCCAUCCAUAAAUAACUUUAUAUUUCACUUCUGGCAGCAGAGCUGAGCCAGAAGGUAAUGAGCCAUUGUGGAAAACCCAUCUGUUGCUCAUAAGGGGAAAGACCGGAUUUAUUGAGGAAGAAUCUGGAGCGUAAGUCCUGUUAUUGUUAAUGGGAAUUGCACAUCUAAUUGGUCAUGCUGAAAAUAUGCCCUAUUAUAUUCUUUCACUGGCCAGAUGGAUGUGCUCAGCUGCAAUGCUGAGAAGAAAAAUGUACCUAAAGAAUUUGAGAGUGGGAGUGGACACCAC